GCAAAAAAAAAAAAAAAUAAUAACAUUUCAAUAACGAAUAAUGAAUGAAUAUCCAAGUUUUAAUUUCUCUUUAGAAUUUUCUCGUACUGUUUUACUAGCACAGAAACUAGUAUGUAACAUGAUUCGUGUUAGGACGUGAUUUCUGUGUGAAAGGCAGAAGCCAAAUGCGAUUAUGAUCGCUGGGGACAUGGACUUAGGGGUGUAUUAUAAUAAAGCGAAAGUGCUGUUACAGAACUCACGUCGAGCGACACGUGGCGGAAUCGUGUUCUGAUAUUGUAUCACUGUCUGCCACGUGACUAUCACUUUAUAAAUAUAUAUCUAUCGCAGCAUGUUCAAUUCAGUGAUAGUCAGAAGGACAUGUUUGAAUCGAACUUAUCGUUGAACUUCAUCUUCGAAAAUUUCGAUAUACCCACGCGUGGCAAUUUUCAUCCACUCCAACUUUUACAUUCAUUACGGUUAACGAUGUUUCGCGGAUCGAAUAAUAAUCCCAAACGAAAGUUAUUAUAUACAUUUCACGAAGCACAACAGUUGUACUAUUUAGUCUUUAAACAAGCGCGCAAAGUGGAUCAACACGGUCGAAUCGUGAAAACAGGAGAGAGGCAGUCCCAGGCAUCGUACAUACGUGUCUGUUAGGGGUGUCAAUUUGUCCAGUGGAAGUCCAGUUUGUCCCUGUUUGUUUCCAGGAGAGGUUUAUUUGCAGCACACAAGGACCACGGACGACAGCGGCGGCUCGAGGACGAUGGGGGUGGAGGAAAAAAGGCCGGUAACGAGGCGCGACAACCGUA